GGCGGGGUGGCCGAGCGGUCGAAGGUGGCGCCUUGAAAGCCGUUAGGCGUGCAAGCGCCUCGUGGGUUCGAAUCCCACCCCGGCCG
rnacentral:tRNA from 1 species